ACGGAGGGUGCGAGCGUUAUCCGGAAUCACUGGGUUUAAAGGGUGCGUAGGCGGCGUUAUAAGUCAGAGGUGAAAGCCUACAGCUUAACUGUAGAAUUGCCUUUGAUACUGUAAUGCUUGAAUUAGGUUGAGGUUAGCGGAAUGUGACAUGUAGCGGUGAAAUGCAUAGAUAUGUCAUAGAACACCAAUUGCGAAGGCAGCUAGCUAGGCUUCAAUUGACGCUGAGGCACGAAAGCGUGGGGAGCGAACAGG
rnacentral:rRNA from 1 species